UACGUAGGGUGCGAGCGUUGUCCGGAAUUAUUGGGCGUAAAGGGCUCGUAGGCGGUUUGUCGCGUCGGGAGUGAAAACUCAGGGCUUAACCCUGAGCCUGCUUCCGAUACGGGCAGACUAGAGGUAUGCAGGGGAGAACGGAAUUCCUGGUGUAGCGGUGAAAUGCGCAGAUAUCAGGAGGAACACCAGUGGCGAAGGCGGGUUGCUGGGCCGACACUGACGCUGAGGCGCGAAAGCCAGGGGAGCGAACGGG
rnacentral:rRNA from 1 species